rnacentral:lncRNA from 1 species
UCUCGUGCCAAUUGCUUCUCUUCUCCUUUUUCUUUUAUCUUCCUGCCACAAGGAUGCCCAUAAUGUCAAAAGUACUAGUUUUGCUGCGUUUUGAGAGAGAGAAGUUCUGAAAUGAUUAGUCUCAAAUGGCAACAUUUCUUGGGUGAUACUAUAUCUCUCAUGUUUUUCAUGUUCAUGUCCUUCCUUUCAAAGAGAAAUAUUUUACAUAUUUUACUCAUUUUCGAUUUUUUUUCCCUUGCUGCCUAUUCACUCUAACACAAACUUGUAUAUUGCCUUUUUUCAAUUAGAAUGGCACGAUAUAGGAAAUCUCAGGAUUCUUUAGUCUUACGUUAAUCAUUUUGCGAUGAAACAUUUAUUUUUUACAUGUGAGUUUACCACUAGUUUUAAAAUGCAUGCUUUUGUGUUAUUUUUUCAAAGUUUAAUUAGUACUUGAUACAGAAUUGAAAGUGCUGUUGAAGCCAUACACGCGGUGGAAGAUCAUGCUGGCCACAACCACGGCCAU